rnacentral:rRNA from 1 species
UACGUAGGGGGCUAGCGUUGUCCGGAAUCAUUGGGCGUAAAGAGCGUGUAGGCGGUCCGGUAAGUCCGCUGUGAAAGUCGGGGGCUCAACCCUCGAAUGCCGGUGGAUACUGUCGGGCUAGAGUGCGGAAGAGGCUAGUGGAAUUCCUGGUGUAGCGGUGAAAUGCGCAGAUAUCAGGAGGAACACCUAUUGCGAAGGCAGCUCGCUGGGACGUAACUGACGCUGAGACGCGAAAGCGUGGGGAGCAAACAGG